UCCAGAAGGAUGCUAGAAUUCACCAAGUGCACACCCCUGAGGGCGGACUGGCUGCUUCCAGCAGAAAUCCAACUACGAGCUUUUUAACUGCAACAACUUUAAUAUACGCUAUUGGAGCUGGAAUUACCGCGGCUGCUGGCACCAGACUUGCCCUCCAAUUGUUACUCUGAAAGGGGUUUGGAUUCCUAUCAUUCCAAUCACUAGAAAUGAAAUUUCCAGUGUUGUUAUUUCUUGUCACUACCUCCCUGAAUCAGGAUUGGGUAAUUUGCGCGCCUGCUGCCUUCCUUAGAUGUGGUAGCCGUUUCUCAGGCUCCCUCUCCGGAAUCGAACCCUAAUUCCCCGUUACCCGUCACUGCCACGGUAGUCCAAUACAGUACCGUCGAAAGCUGAUAGGUCAGAAACUUGAAUGAUCCGUCGCAGACCGAAGUCAACGCGAUCCGUUCGGUUACUAUGAAUCACCUGAGGACCACCGGAAGGUGGGUUGGUUCUGUAUCUAAUAAACACUGCCCUUCCAGGGGAAGAGGCAUGUGCGCAUGUAUUAGCCAUAGAAUUACCACGGUUAUCCAUGUAGUAAAGACCAUCAAAUAAACUAUAACUGUUUUAAUGAGCCAUUCGCAGUUUAGCCGUAUAAAAGCUUAUACUUAGACAUGCAUGGCUUAAUCUUUAAGACAAGCAUAUGA
rnacentral:rRNA from 1 species